CCAACAUCAAUUAGUGCCCCUCCUCUCAGCCUCUGCUUCCCUACCCCACAACUGGUCUUCUGGACUCAAUAGCUAUGAAGAAGAUUUCCACACUCACACCAGGUAGCUUUACCAGCUCUGGGGGACACGGCACACUACUCCAGCCUUGACAAACAUCUGUGAGCAUCACACUCACACAGACACAUGUAUACAGGAUAUAGAGGAAUCAACCCCGAACCGACUAGGACUAACUUCCUGCUGGCUACCUUUCAAGGAAGGUGUUACACUGGGGAGAAAAGGAUAUUGGUGGCUUUACCUGAUGCUGGACCCCGUAAUACUGACUAACAGGCAAGAUGUGCCCCCCCCCAUGCAGUAGUGAUGUGAAUGUUUCGGGUAAUCAGCCACUUUCUUAUUGGACUUGAAGCCUGCUUCACAGCAGGGAAUCCACACCUGGUACUGUAAUCCUGUUCAAAAGCCCAAAGCUAGGGAGGCCCUUAGUAAAAAGGAAUCUACCACUGCCAUUGGCUGAAUGGAAGUGUUGCCAAACUGCUUUCUAAAUAUUUAUGCUUGUACACAUGGAUCAGUGCUGCUCCAAUCUCAUCAG
rnacentral:lncRNA from 1 species